rnacentral:rRNA from 1 species
GAUGAACGCUGGCGGCGUGCCUAAUACAUGCAAGUCGAGCGAAUGGAUUAAGAGCUUGCUCUUAUGAAGUUAGCGGCGGACGGGUGAGUAACACGUGGGUAACCUGCCCAUAAGACUGGGAUAACUCCGGGAACCCGGGGCUAAUACCGGAUAACAUUUUGAACCACAUGGCUCGAAAUCGAAAGGCGGCUUCGGCUUUCACGCAUCGAUGGACCCGCGUCGCAUUAGCUAGUUGGUGAGGUAACGGCUCACCAAGGCAACGAUGCGUAGCCGACCUGAGAGGGUGAGCGGCCACACUGGAACUGAGACACGGGCCAGACUCCUACGGGAGGCAGCAGUAGGGAAUCUUCCGCAAUGGACGAAAGUCUGACGGAGCAACGCCGCGUGAGUGAUGAAGGCUUUCGGGUCGUAAAACUCUGUUGUUAGGGAAGAACAAGUGCUAGUUGAAUAAGCUGGCACCUUGACGGUACCUAACCAGAAAGCCACGGCUAACUACGUGCCAGCCGCCGCAGUAA